AAAAAAAAAAAAAAAAAAGAAAAGAAAGAAAGAAAAAAAGAAAAAAGGAGGAAACAAGAAAACUUCUAAAGGACCACUGGAAAAGAGAGAAAGAUACCACUGACAUGAGAGAAAUGUGGAACUUCAGGAAUGUGUGCAACAGAGGAGAUCAACUGAAGCAAAACCUGAGGAGACUUGAACAGCAGUUUCAGAUUCCACAGGACCUGAAUCACUCCAGGAGUCAAAAUAUACAUGGUGGUGGAGACUGGGGGUGUGGAUACCCUCAGGAGAGUGUACUGAGGGACAGGAGAAUGAGAACAAGAACAGAAAUCUAAUUUUGGGAAACUAAGGAGCAGGCAGAGGAAGAGGAGCCCAUGAAGCUGAUGGAAAAGGAGCAGCUGGGGAAUGAAGACCGUAGUGAAAAGGGGUAUCACAGAGACCACAUGAAAAAAAAGAAGAAAAACUUUUAAUUUGAAAAGAAUCAUGAAAAGGCCACUAUUUGUUCACAGAUGUUCUUUGUUGAGAGACACCAGCUACUCAGUGAUCCCACAUCUGCACUUUUAUUUCUCUGAUCAUCCUUUGCCAUCAUCCAUCAAAGUCUCAGGUUCAAUGCUGCAACUUCCUGAAGACCUCAAAACCUGGAAUCAAUUUCUUCUUCGUUAUACAGGAAGAUGGUACAGGACAGUGGAAAGACUUUGGGAUAAUUUUCUCAUCUGUGUUCUAACACUUAGAACCUUGGUGACCAGAGGGGAGUUAUUUUAAUAUUUCUGAGCUCUACUUCCUCAUGUUUAAGCUAGAUAGUUCUUAACUGAGUUGUUACAAGGAAUGAAACGAAAUGAUCCAUAUAUUCACUGAUUUCACAAAUAUUUAUGAGUAUCUAUUAUGUAAAAGUGCUUUCUAUACUUGGGAAAAGAUAACCAACAACUAAAUAAAUAACAUAAUUUUAGAUUUAAACUUGAAUGAUGAGAAGAAGCGAGUCUUCUAAGGAUCUGGGGCAAAACAUUUCUGGCAGAAAAAAAAAACAAUGAAAGCAAAGUCCCUGAUGCAAGAAUUUGUUAUGUUCUGAAAAGCUGCUAUGCCUGGAUGGCUGGAGUAUAGAGUGUGACAAAGAAAGUUCCUGUAAUGAGAGUUGCCUACGAGUCUUGUAGGGCUUACGUGAAGUGUAAAGAGUUCUUAUUUUUCUGCUAGAAGCACUAGGAAGACCCUGAAGAGUUCUGAGGAGGGAAGUGGCAUGAUGCCAUGUCAUGAACCUAGUAUACCGCCUGCCUCAUAGUGGGGAUCAGUAAAUAGUGGCCGACGUCAAGCUCUUGCAGUGGUUUUUAAACAUCUAGGGUAUUCUGUUUCAUCAAUCCUAUCUUGUGUUGUGGGGAUAUGAAGAUAAAUAUUGCCUGUUCCCUCCCUUAGCCAUGCUGUUAAUUGUUUAAUGGCAUCAUGUGCAAUUUGUUUAACUUUGUAUCCCCCAUAAUAGUAAAUAUAGCAAUUUGGCUCACUGAGGUAUUCAUUCAUUGGGUGAGUUUUCACUGACAGCAGGGCUGGCACGUGCCUGGUACACAGUGCCGGCUUAUUCUUAUUUUCAUCAGAACUGAACACUUGCAGUAACUCCCCAUUUCCUAUUUGAAAACUCCAAAGCCUUGAUUUUGGCAUUCAUGGACUUUACAACAUAGUCCUACCUGAUGCAAUGUUUUCUCCUCUAGGUGUGCCCUGUGUUUCUACCAAGCUGGACACUUCCUUUCAAAUUCCUUAUAUUUUCCCGCUUACGAACACUUUAUUUCGUACCAUCCUAGUCUAGCUGAAAGUCACUCCUUUCACCAUCUUCUAUGUCUGUAAGGCUACAUUCAAGUACUAUCCACCCUAUGUCACUUAGGCUAUAUUUACAUUUUGUGCAUCCCUCUCUAUGCCUUGAGCCAUGUAAGGACUCAAUAAAUAUGUACUGAAUAAAUAAAGUAAAAAAAAAAAAGUUUCUAUAUCUGUUAAAAAUCGUGUUUAAAUUUUGAAGAAAACUAUUCCACUUCAGCAUAAUAC